GAUGAACGCUAGCGGCAGGCUUAAUACAUGCAAGUCGAGGGGUAACAUGGUAGCAAUACUGAUGACGACCGGCAAACGGGUGCGGAACACGUACAGAACCUUCCUUUAAGCGGGGGAUAGCCCAUAGAAAUGUGGAUUAAUACCCCAUAGUAAUAUUGUCUGGCAUCAGAUGGUAUUUAAAGAUUUAUCACUUAAAGAUGGCUGUGCGGCUGAUUAGGUAGUUGGGUGGGUAACGGCCCACCAAGCCAGCGAUCAGUAACUGGUGUGAGAGCACGACCAGUCACACGGGCACUGAGACACGGGGCCCGACUCCUACGGGAGGCAGCAGUAAGGAAUAUUGGUCAAUGGACGCAAGUCUGAACCAGCCAUGCCGCGUGAAGGAU
rnacentral:rRNA from 1 species